UAUCGCUGGGGCUAAAUCCUCUAAUUGUAUUAUCCUGUGUGUAAAGCUGCUCAGCAGAGACACACCGAGCGCACACUCCUCCAGCGCGCCCCACUCAGCCUCUACUCUGCGGCUCCCAGCACCUCACUGCGAACACCAGCCAGCCGAGAGACUGCUGGAGAACUCUCAACUGCACCAGCUUACUGCAGUAUUGGCGCUGGCUCCACAGGAGAGAUCCCGUCCCAGAAAACCGUCCAUCAGCUGACGGGACAGUGAGCGGCCGUACGGAGAAGGAGCAGCCCGACAGAGACCGAGCGUCCGAGCGUCCGAGCG
rnacentral:lncRNA from 1 species